AAGUCGUAACAAGGUUUCCGUAGGUGAACCUGCGGAAGGAUCAUUAUCCAACCAAAACCAGCUGCGGUCGCGGCCCCCCGAGGAUCUUACCUUGGGGUGGUAGGGGUAACACCCUCACGCGCCGCACGUCUGCAUCCUUUCUUUACGAGCACCUCCGUUCUCCUUCGGCGGGGCAACCUGCCGUUGGAACCAACAAAACCUUUUUUUGCAUCUAGCAUUACCUGUUCUGAUACAAACAAUCGUUACAACUUUCAACAAUGGAUCUCUUGGCUCUG
rnacentral:misc_RNA from 1 species